AAAUUUGCUUUUCCUUCUUAUUCUCAACUUUAGUUCUUUGUUUUUCUUUUAUUAAUAUAUGUGUAAUAUUUAAUGUAUAAUUAUGUGUAAUUUAAUAUAUGUGUAAUAUUUUAAUGUAUAAUUCGAGGGUAUGCUAUUCUUUUAUAUCUUGAAAAAUCGCCAUUAGGUCCUCUGCUUUUGAUUUUAAUUAUUAUUAUUUUCUUUUGAUAUUUUAUUAAGUAAAUUAAAGUUGGAUUAAAGAAUUGGAUCUUGAUAGUCUCUUUGUUAAUUUGUAAUUACUGUGAAUUAUAAUUUUCCAAAUUGGGUCUUUGUAGAAUGAAAAGUGAAAUUAACAAACAACUUCAAACCAUUAAACUAUUCUCUGUUUUGCAAUAUAAAGAGUAUGUAAAACGCAUACAUCUAUGUUUAUAAGAUUCUAUUUUUAUUUUUUUUAUUCAAUUUUCUAAAUGAUUAAUAUAUUUUUCCCCAUAUAACUGACUGUAAAAUUUGGCUUUUAAGGUUGUUCUUAGAACUAAACCAGUAAUAAAACAUUUUCUUCCAAAUAAUCUUUAAUAUAUUAUAAGCUACCCUCAAAAUUGGUUUCUUGGUCUCGUAAGCAUCAAGGAAAAAAGGGACUAAGAGAAGGCUUUUUUUUUUUUUUUUUUUUUGUGAGUUUGCAAAAAACUAUGAUGAAGAAAAAUAUGACAUAACUUAAAGGAGUCUCAUUGCACCAAAUGUGAUGAUUUAUGAACAUGAUGGCUUAGAAUUAUUGUUUAUUGUUCAUCGAACUUGGUGAAGUUCUUUUGAAGUUUGUAUUUGGUUGGAAAGUUUUGUUAUAAGUUAGAAAGAAAUAAUUUUUGUUGAAACUAUUUGUUUAGAUUCACUUGUUUAAGAAUGGUUCCUUCUUUUAGUAAAACGAUAGAUUUGUUCCUCUUUAUCAUUUAGGACAUAUCAGGAUUUAGGAAUUGUAGUUUCUGAAGUUUGACAAUGAUAAGAAGUUGGAAAAAAUAAUUAUAAUAAUAAUAAUUGUAUAUCUUACAACUUCUUAAUCUACACAACCUUACUUGAUAAUCUUCUCAUAAGGACCAGCAUUUUUAUGAAACUGGAAUUUCAUGUAGCCAAAUGAAUUGACAAGUGAAGUUCCACAUCGGUUGGAAAGGAAAACGAAGCAUGGCUUAUAAGUGUGUGGAUACCUUUCCUUUGUAAACGCGUUCCUACGAAAAAAAGUAAAACUAUGAGGGUAGGAUUGAACUUACCACCUAAUUUCCAAAGCGGACAAUAUCUCGAUUGGACUGAUAGGUAGGGCUUGAAUUGACAUGUUAUGAACAUUAGUUUCUUCGUAUUAACCAAAAAGCAUAAACCAAAAACUAUAUAUAUUAUUUACUUCUUUCUAUGUUUUCCAAAAAGCAUAAACCAAAAACUAUAUAUAUUAUUUACUUCUUUCUAUGUUUUUUCUGUCCACUUUCUGUUUUUAGUUUUGACUGUCAAUCUGGGACUCAUUGAUGUUCUUUUGUUAGAUUUUCUAAAGGCCAAAUGUCUGAUGAACUAUGAGAUUGCCAUUCUUCUUAAGCAUAGAUGUGAUCAACUCAAGCAUAUGUCUGAUGAUUCAUUGAAACAUCUUCCUCAAUAUGAUAUGUUUUUUUUAACCACCAAAAAAAAAAAAAAAAAAAAAACCUUCAUUGCAGGCUGCUUUAUAUGAAUUCUUCAUAUUCCAUUUCAAUUCAUAUCUUGCAGAUUUGAUUUCCCAAGAUUUCUCUUAUUGUUAUUAGAAUCUAAUUUCUUCUUCAGAGUGUUCAAGAAAGCGCUGCAAUACGUUAAACGCUUCAGCCGAUUCACUAAUCAGGAUGCUGUAAAGCAAGUUAGAGAGUGUCCUUCAUUCUUUACACAAUCUUCUUUUUGCACCUUCAUGGUAAAUUUUCUGAUGAAUUUGUCUUUCUACAAUGCUGACAUUGUUCUAUGACUAGUUUAGCAGCUACCUAGUGCAGAGUUUAAUCCUAGUAACUGCAGCUUCUUAGGAAACAAAUGCUUUAGGAUUAUUCAAACUGUCAUUUUAUUACAUAGGGUGAGUAGUAGAAAAAGUUAUUCAAAUAAAUUCUUUUAUGUGUGUUUUUAUAUGUGUCUUUCUUCUUUUUAAUAUGUGUGUUGUUUGUUACUUAAGCAACAUACAGAGUCCUUAGUAGGUACCAGUUGGCUGAAUAUGAGGUACUUUUUUUCUCACAUACUGAUAUAUGGAAUUAUAAGAUAUGGUUUUUAUAUUGAAACAAUAACAAUAACAGUUUAAUUACUACUAUACAUUUAUCAUACGCUAUAGUUGGCUGUGCUUGGUGGAAAUCUUUGCCUGAAACUGUAGAGGACGCUAAGGCUGUUGUGCCUUCUCUAAAGAUUCCUUAUAUUUGCAGACGAAAGGACGAAGCCAUGACGAUGAAGCAAUAGAGAAAUUGUUGAAUGACGUACUGAUGGUAAAGAAAUUUGAGUGAGUUUCUCAGUGUUUUCUUUUUGCUUAAAUAUCAUGAAUAAAACGUACUUGGCUGUGGUAGAUUAUAUAUCAUUUGUCCUCAAUCCUUUGCCAAUAAGAUGCUCAUGUUGAAAGAUUAUAUAUCAUUUGUCCUCAAUCCUUUGCCAAUAAGAUGCUCAUGUUGAACACAUAGUACUUCA